UACGUAGGUGGCAAGCGUUGUCCGGAUUUAUUGGGUUUAAAGGGUGCGUAGGUGGUCUAUUAAGUCAGUGCUGAAAUAUCCCGGCUUAACCGGGAGGGUGGCAUUGAUACUGAUAGACUUGAGUAGAGUUGAGGUAGGCGGAAUUGACGGUGUAGCGGUGAAAUGCUUAGAUAUCGUCAAGAACACCAAUAGCGAAGGCAGCUUACUAAGCUCUAACUGACACUGAUGCACGAAAGUGUGGGGACUAACAA
rnacentral:rRNA from 1 species